CAGCCGCCGCGGGAAUACGAAGGGUGCAAGCGUUAAUCGGAAUUACUGGGCGUAAAGCGUGCGUAGGCGGUUUGUUAAGUCUGUUGUGAAAUCCCCGGGCUCAACCUGGGAAUGGCAAUGGAUACUGGCAAGCUAGAGUGUGUCAGAGGAUGGUGGAAUUCCCGGUGUAGCGGUGAAAUGCGUAGAGAUCGGGGGGAACACCAGUGGCGAAGGCGGCCAUCUGGGACAACACUGACGCUGAGGCACGAAAGCGUGGGGAGCAAACAGGAUUAGAUACCCCUGUAGUCCCUGUCUCUUAUAC
rnacentral:rRNA from 1 species